CCUACGGGUGGCUGCAGUGGGGGAUAUUGCACAAUGGGGGAAACCCUGAUGCAGCGACGCCGCGUGAGCGAUGAAGUACUUCGGUAUGUAAAGCUCUAUCAGCAGGGAAGAGAAUGCCGGUACCUGACCAAGAAGCCCCGGCUAACUACGUGCCAGCCGCCGCGGUAAUACGUAGGGGGCAAGCGUUAUCCGGAUUUACUGGGUGGAAAGGGAGCGUAGGCGGCAGAGCAAGCCUGAUGUGAAAGCCCGGGGCUCAACCCCGGGACUGCCUUGGGAACUGUCUCGCUGGAGUGCCGGAGAGGUAGGCGGAAUUCCUAGUGUAGCGGUGAAAUGCGUAGAUAUUACGCAGAACUCCGAUUGCGAAGGCAGCAUACCGGAGAGUAACUGACGUUGAUGCACGAAAGCGUGGGGAUCGAACAGGAUUAGAUACCCUAGUAGUC
rnacentral:rRNA from 1 species